CCUACGGGAGGCAGCAGUAGGGAAUCUUCCGCAAUGGACGAAAGUCUGACGGAGCAACGCCGCGUGAACGAUGAAGGCCUUCGGGUCGUAAAGUUCUGUUGUUAGGGAAGAACAAGUGCUAGUUGAAUAAGCUGGCACCUUGACGGUACCUAACCAGAAAGCCACGGCUAACUACGUGCCAGCAGCCGCGGUAAUACGUAGGUGGCAAGCGUUGUCCGGAAUUAUUGGGCGUAAAGCGCGCGCAGGCGGUUUCUUAAGUCUGAUGUGAAAGCCCCCGGCUCAACCGGGGAGGGUCAUUGGAAACUGGGAAACUUGAGUGCAGAAGAGGAAAGUGGAAUUCCAAGUGUAGCGGUGAAAUGCGUAGAGAUUUGGAGGAACACCAGUGGCGAAGGCGACUUUCUGGUCUGUAACUGACGCUGAGGCGCGAAAGCGUGGGGAGCAAACAGGAUUAGAUACCCUGGUAGUCCACGCUGUAAACGAUGAGUGCUAAGUGUUAGAGGGUUUCCGCCCUUUAGUGCUGAAGUUAACGCAUUAAGCACUCCGCCUGGGGAUACGGUCGCAAGACUGAAACUUAAAUGAAUUGACGG
rnacentral:rRNA from 1 species